rnacentral:rRNA from 1 species
UACGAGGGGGGCAAGUGUUGUUCGGAAUCACUGGGCGUAAAGGGAGCGUAGGCGGAUGUUUAAGUUGGAUGUUUAAAACCGGGGCCUAACCUCGGAGCGGCAUCGAAAACUGGGCGUCUUGAAUAGGUCAGAGGCUGGUGGAAUUGGAGGUGUAGCGGUGGAAUGCGUAGAGAUCUCGAAGAACACCUAUUGCGAAGGCAGCCAGCUGGGCACAUAUUGACGCUGAGGCUCGAAAGCAUGGGGAGCAAACAGG